ACGGUUACAUCACGUUAAAACACCUGUUCCCCUACGAUCACUGAAGUUAAGCAACGUCGAGCCUGGUCUGUACCUAGAUGGGUGAGCGUUUGGGAAUAACAAGUGAUGUAA